AAACCAUAUUCUGUGGCAGAUAAUGGAAACUGUCUUGAACAAAUCAAGUUUGCUAUAGCAUGAGAGUCUAACCUGUUCUGGUGUUAACUUCUUGAGACAGGCUAUUACAUAGGCUUAAACAUU
ensembl:snoRNA